ACGAACGCUGGCGGCGUGCUUCACACCUGCAAGUCGAACGGAAAGGCCCUGCUUUUGUGGGGUGCUCGAGUGGCGAACGGGUGAGUAACACGUGAGUAACCUGCCCUUGACUUUGGGUUAACUUCCGGCAACUGGGGCUAAUACCGGCUAGGAGCUCCUGCUGCCUGGUGGGGGUUGGAAAGUUUCGGCGGUUGGGGAUGGACUCGCGGCUUAUCAGCUUGUUGGUGGGGUAGUGGCUUACCAAGGCUUUGCCGGGUAGCCGGCCUGAGAGGGUGACCGGCCACAAUGGGACUGAGAUACGGCCCAGACUCCUACGGGAGGCAGCAGUGGGGAAUAGUGCACAAUGGGCGGAAGCCUUAUGCAGCAACUCCGCGUGCGGGAUGACGGCCUUCGGGUUGUAAACCGCGUUCGCCUGUGACGAAGCGUGAGUGACGGUAAUGGGUAAAGAAGCACCGGCUAACUACGUG
rnacentral:rRNA from 1 species